rnacentral:snoRNA from 1 species
GGCCUUCUGGUGCUUACACAGGUUGUGUUCCUAUACUGACUGUAUAGAAAGAGGAGGCAAAGUAAACCUACCCCAUAUACACCUCAGCCCAAGCCCUGUGCUUGGGCUGUAUUUUGAAUGGGGAGACAUGG